rnacentral:rRNA from 1 species
UAAUACAUAGGGUGCAAGCGUUGUCCGGAAUUAUUGGGCGUAAAGAGCUCGUAGGUCGUUUGUCACGUCGAUUGUGAAAAUCUGAGGCUCAACCUCAGACCUGCAGUCGAUACGGGCAAACUAGAGUGUGGUAGGGGAGACUGGAAUUCCUGGUGUAGCGGUGGAAUGCGCAGAUAUCAGGAGGAACACCAAUGGCGAAGGCAGGUCUCUGGGCCAUAACUGACACUGAGGAGCGAAAGUGCGGGGAGCGAACAGGAUUAGAUACCCUGGUAGUCCGCACCGUAAACGGUGGGCACUAGUUGUGGGAACCUUCCACGGUUUCCGCGACGCAGCAAACGCAUUAAGUGCCCCGCCUGGGGAGUACGAUCGCAAGAUUAAAACUCAAAGGAAUUGACGGGGCCCCGCACAAGCAGCGGAGCAUGCGGCUUAAUUCGACGCAACGCGAAGAACCUUACCAAGGCUUGACAUAUGGCGAAAAGUGGCAGAGAUGUCAUGUCC